UUUUGAAUGACUACGAAAGAAGAUGAUGCUUCCACCGACUACAGAACGAAAAUCAUCCAAUUUAGUAAUGAUGUGCUGUACAUAGCCGUAUGACAAUAAGUAGAUAAUUGAAUGAAGUCAACACAAAUGAAUAACCUACAGCUUCUGAAGGAUUUUAUUUCCUUCCAUGUCCUAAUUCGAAAAUCAUUCAACUACCAUCUAAAAUAUCAUACAGAAAAUUAAUGAUCCCAACUGUCAAAUCAUCCUUGAAAACAUUGUAAAAAUAUGGUGGCAGCAGCAUGGUGUGUUGACUUUUCCAUCAUGGAUUUCGUAGUUUCAGGGAUAUAUCGAGACCGCUUAUGCACAGUUCGUGCAAUCAUGUAUUUUUGUGCACUUAUGGUGUUUGGACGAGUAUUUGGUGGAGUCACAACGGGCAGACAGCUACUCCUGCGGACAUGAGAUAAACUCAUAUUUGUGAAUAAUGGAAAUAAAUAAUGAAGUGUAUUAAACUA
rnacentral:lncRNA from 1 species